GGCCACGUUUAUAAAGGAUUCAAUACACGGAUUGCAAAUCCGCCCAUGCCGGUUCGAUUCCGGCCUCGGCCUCCA
rnacentral:tRNA from 1 species